AGUGAACGCUGGCGGUAGGCCUAACACAUGCAAGUCGAACGGCAGCACAGUAAGAGCUUGCUCUUACGGGUGGCGAGUGGCGGACGGGUGAGGAAUACAUCGGAAUCUACUUUUUCUUGGGGGAUAACGUAGGGAAACUUACGCUAAUACCGCAUACGACCUACGGGUGAAAGCAUGGGAUCUUCGGACCUUGCGCGAGUGAAUGAGCCGAUGUCGGAUUAGCUAGUUGGCGGGGUAAAGGCCCACCAAGGCGACGAUCCGUAGCUGGUCUGAGAGGAUGAUCAGCCACACUGGAACUGAGACACGGUCCAGACUCCUACGGGAGGCAGCAGUGGGGAAUAUUGGACAAUGGGCGCAAGCCUGAUCCAGCCAUACCGCGUGGGUGAAGAAGGCCUUCGGGUUGUAAAGCCCUUUUGUUGGGAAAGAAAAGCAGCAGGUUAAUACCCCGCUGUUCUGACGGUACCCAAAGAAUAAGCACCGGCUAACUUCGUG
rnacentral:rRNA from 1 species